GGGUAGGGGAGCGUUCUGUAAGCCUGUGAAGGUGUACUGUGAGGUAUGCUGGAGGUAUCAGAAGUGCGAAUGCUGACAUAAGUAACGAUAAAGCGGGUGAAAAGCCCGCUCGCCGGAAGACCAAGGGUUCCUGUCCAACGUUAAUCGGGGCAGGGUGAGUCGACCCCUAAGGCGAGGCCGAAAGGCGUAGUCGAUGGGAAACAGGUUAAUAUUCCUGUACUUGGUGUUACUGCGAAGGGGGGACGGAGAAGGCUAUGUUGGCCGGGCGACGGUUGUCCCGGUUUAAGCGUGUAGGCUGGUUUUCCAGGCAAAUCCGGAAAAUCAAGGCUGAGGCGUGAUGACGAGGCACUACGGUGCUGAAGCAACAAAUGCCCUGCUUCCAGGAAAAGCCUCUAAGCAUCAGGUAACAUCAAAUCGUACCCCAAACCGACACAGGUGGUCAGGUAGAGAAUACCAAGGCGCUUGAGAGAACUCGGGUGAAGGAACUAGGCAAAAUGGUGCCGUAACUUCGGGAGAAGGCACGCUGAUAUGUAGGUGAAGUCCCUCGCGGAUGGAGCUGAAAUCAGUCGAAGAUACCAGCUGGCUGCAACUGUUUAUUAAAAACACAGCACUGUGCAAACACGAAAGUGGACGUAUACGGUGUGACGCCUGCCCGGUGCCGGAAGGUUAAUUGAUGGGGUCAGCGCAAGCGAAGCUCUUGAUCGAAGCCCCGGUAAACGGCGGCCGUAACUAUAACGGUCCUAAGGUAGCGAAAUUCCUUGUCGGGUAAGUUCCGACCUGCACGAAUGGCGUAAUGAUGGCCAGGCUGUCUCCACCCGAGACUCAGUGAAAUUGAACUCGCUGUGAAGAUGCAGUGUACCCGCGGCAAGACGGAAAGACCCCGUGAACCUUUACUAUAGCUUGACACUGAACAUUGAGCCUUGAUGUGUAGGAUAGGUGGGAGGCUUUGAAGUGUGGACGCCAGUCUGCAUGGAGCCGACCUUGAAAUACCACCCUUUAAUGUUUGAUGUUCUAACGUGGACCCGUAAUCCGGGUUGCGGACAGUGUCUGGUGGGUAGUUUGACUGGGGCGGUCUCCUCCUAAAGAGUAACGGAGGAGCACGAAGGUUGGCUAAUCCUGGUCGGACAUCAGGAGGUUAGUGCAAUGGCAUAAGCCAGCUUGACUGCGAGCGUGACGGCGCGAGCAGGUGCGAAAGCAGGUCAUAGUGAUCCGGUGGUUCUGAAUGGAAGGGCCAUCGCUCAACGGAUAAAAGGUACUCCGGGGAUAACAGGCUGAUACCGCCCAAGAGUUCAUAUCGACGGCGGUGUUUGGCACCUCGAUGUCGGCUCAUCACAUCCUGGGGCUGAAGUAGGUCCCAAGGGUAUGGCUGUUCGCCAUUUAAAGUGGUACGCGAGCUGGGUUUAGAACGUCGUGAGACAGUUCGGUCCCUAUCUGCCGUGGGCGCUGGAGAACUGAGGGGGGCUGCUCCUAGUACGAGAGGACCGGAGUGGACGCAUCACUGGUGUUCGGGUUGUCAUGCCAAUGGCACUGCCCGGUAGCUAAAUGCGGAAGAGAUAAGUGCUGAAAGCAUCUAAGCACGAAACUUGCCCCGAGAUGAGUUCUCCCUGACCCUUUAAGGGUCCUGAAGGAACGUUGAAGACGACGACGUUGAUAGGCCGGGUGUGUAAGCGCAGCGAUGCGUUGAGCUAACCGGUACUAAUGAACCGUGAGGCUUAACCUUACAACGCCGAAGGUGUUU
rnacentral:rRNA from 1 species